rnacentral:lncRNA from 1 species
CCAUAUGCUUAUUUUAACAAGGAAGCUCAACUUUGGAUGUAGAUUAUUGGUGCUUGUUUAGUUCCAGGAACCCAUAUCAUUUAUGUAAUGUAUGAAUGGGUAUGUCAAGUUUUUUCUUUAACGACUGAUGUCCCUAUUAAUGUUUCUACACUAGAUUAUACUUAAGGAAAUCCCAAGUUUACUAGGGUAUUAGUUUUGGCUUUAAGAGUUUUGUGAUAAUGUUCUUGAAGAACAAUGGGUUGAGAAAGACUUGAGAUGUCAUAGGCAACCUAGAAACAUACGAUAAGUUGAUGUGUCUAUGGUGAAGUAGCCCAAUUCCACCCAUGGGCCAGUUCUUACCAUUGAGAAGAUAAAUCCUAGUGAUGAUAACUUUUUUUGGUACUUCUACGACAUAACUAAGUUGAUGAUGAUGUGUGACAGGUGCCUACUUACUGAAGAAGAGUUGAGAUAGUUGGAUAUUGACUACCUAAUGAAUUACCAUGCAAAUUUCAUGUGCCAAGUUGGUCAAACCUUUAGAGAGCUGGUAGAUGUGAUAUUUAUACUGAUGAUGAACAUUUGCUAGUUGAUUCCGAUGUGGAGAUUUAUUCUGACUAGGAGGAUUAUGAGAUGAGAUAUCUUAGACCCAAUGUGUAUGAAGAAGAUGUCUAUGCCCAGAAAGUUCUUUUCCCUAUCUUCU